rnacentral:sRNA from 1 species
AGGGCUGAGCAUAAAAUCAGAAAUCCGAAACCGAUCCGAAAAAUUCGGUUUCGAAAUCGAACCAAAAAGUUAAAAAAUCUGACCGGAUAACGAAUUUUCUUAUCUGAAUUAUUCGAACCGAAUCAUAUCUGAACCGAAAAUCGAACUGAUAUCCGCUAAUCCGAAAUAAAAUUAUAUAUUUAAAAAUAUUAGUUAUAUUUAGUUAUAAUUUAUAACCAAAAAAUAAUAAAUAACACAAAUAUCUGAAAUAACUUUGAUAUCCAAUUUUGUUUUAGUUAUAUUUGUUAUAAUUAUACAAAGUUUGCAAACUUAAACCAAAUUUUAGUAAAAGUAAACGAUUUAUUAUUAAAAUUAAACAAUUUUUAGUCUUUUUUUUCUCAAAAACUGUUGCGAAACCGAUCUGAAUCCAAUAUCAUCCAAACCGAAACCAAACUGUAUAGUCAUAUAAUCCGAACGGAUAAUAAACUUCUUCAUCCAAAUUAUGCGAAUUCAAAAAAAUUCGAUCUGAUUCCGAUCCGAAAUCCGAAUGGCCAGACCUAUGCCUAUAU